AUUAGUUUAUAUAGUUAUUUUGAUAGCAUGAUUUUAAGAAUAAGUGGAUUUUAUAAUCAGUUCUUUUUAAAACUAAAUUCAGUACAAUUAAAUCAUUUACAUAGCAUUUAUAUUCGUAUUACAUAUUUCAGCUUAUUUAAAGUUAUUUUUAAAAUCACCAGAAAGUAAUCAGGUGAUUUUACCCUAGUCUGCAUUGGUGUGAAUGUGUUUCGACAGUGUAAGAGCGGUUAUGGUGAUUUUACCUUCUCUGCAGUAUUGUGAAUGUAUUUUCAUAAUGUAUGACUAGAUUAUGACAUUUGGGUAGCUUUGUGCCUGUAUGACAGUAUUGCAGAAUUUUAGAACUUAAUAGCCUUGUCAUGUAGAUCUAGAUUAAUUGGUACAUGAAUAUGGUUAUUCCAGGUACAUUUUUUGUGUGAUUUUCAGUAAUAUAUACAACUUAUCAGAUUUCAAAUUACAGAAUUUAGUUUAAUCGGUUUGAAGAAUAAAGAUUUCAAUUUAUUGUAUUGUGAAAAGAUUUUUUUUACUCAUAAUAUGGAUGACAAAUUUAUUAUAUCUUUUAUACCUUACAGUGAUUUAUUCAGAAUAAAUAGUAAAGAAUUUUAUGAUUCCUUUAUGUUUUAAUCUUAAAAGUAUUAUUAGAUUUUAGACUUUCUUAAAGUUUUAAUGGCAUAAGUAUUUUCAAAAAGCUUAUAUAAAUAGAAAAAAGUGUACUUAUUUGCGAAUUGUUCAUUCACUGAGUUACAAGCUCAUAUAUUUUGUCAUCCAUUUUUUCCUUAUCAGAUACUAGUUGAGUUGAGCAGCGUUGGAGCCUGUUAAUCUACCAAGUUGAGUCAUACAUUAUCAUUAGUUGGAUGAUUUGUUUUGUUAGUUUAUAUAGUUUUAUGAUUCUUUUGUAAUACAUACAUAUGUUAUCAUAAAAGUUAAUUUGUAAUUCAUGUAUCCAUAUCAUGGGCUCUCUACAUUUUUGUAAAUGUUGUACAUUUGGAGUCUUUUGGCUUGUAAAGGAGUUUAAAUAUCAUUCUAGUAAACUAUAUUUUGAAUAGUUGUGUUUUGGGAGGUUGGUGUACCUUAUUUUAAAUUAUAUGUACAGGUUUGAGAAAAUUGAUUAUCAUUCAUGUGGUUUUAG
rnacentral:lncRNA from 1 species